rnacentral:rRNA from 1 species
GGUGACCUACGGGGCGCAGCAGUGGGGAAUAUUGCACAAUGGGGGGAACCCUGAUGCAGCGACGCCGCGUGAGUGAAGAAGUAUUUCGGUAUGUAAAGCUCUAUCAGCAGGGAAGAAAAUGACGGUACCUGACUAAGAAGCCCCGGCUAACUACGUGCCAGCAGCCGCGGUAAUACGUAGGGGGCGAGCGUUAUCCGGAAUUACUGGGUGUAAAGGGAGCGUAGACGGCGAGGUAAGCCUGAAGUGGAAGCCCGCGGCCCAACCGCGGAACUGCUUUGGGAACUGUUUUGCUGGAGUAUGGGAGG